GACAAACAGGCCGAAUCAAGAUGUAGACAGUAUAAAAGGAGGUUAAGGAGUAAAAAAUUAAUAAAAUUAGAAGAGCUUAGUGUUUUUAUAGAGGUGGAAUUUGUAUAAAGAGAUAGGGUUUUCUUUCUUCUUUUUCCUGAUGCCUCGAAGGUUUGAUAGAAGACCGGGAUUAGAUACCCCGUUAUUCAUUCAGUAAACUUUAAUGGUAUUUUGAUUUACUAGGGUAUUACGAGUUGCUUAGCACAAUAUGUUGUUUAGGCAGUGCGCUUAAAACUCAAAAAACUUGGCGGUGCCUUAUUUCUUUCCAGGGGAACCUGUCCUGUAAUCGAUGGUCCACGAUUUAACUUACCUUUCUUUGUAUUUUGAAAUUUAUUGAUUAAAAAGCAGUCUGUAUACCGUCGUCGUCAGAUUACCUUUGAGAGUAAUGGAAGUUGUCGAGAGAGAAUGAAACUUGUUUAUGUUGGUUGUUAGUUUUGAGAUUAUAUGUAGAUGAGUAUAUUAUCUCUGAUGUCAGAUCAAGGUGCAGCUUAUGGAAAGGAAGAGAUGGGUUACAAUAGUUAUUAAUUAGACGGAUUUUGUGUUGUAAUACACGAUUGAAGGUGGACUUGGGAGUAAUGUAAUGUUUUAGAUUUAGGUAAAUAGUGAGUUUACGUGAAUAAUUGGUACUAAGGUGUGC
rnacentral:rRNA from 1 species